GGGUUCGCUUGAUCAAGGGCUAGGGCCCCGUCUGAUACACGGGGCGACGCUGGUUCGAUUCCAGCCGGUCCCA
rnacentral:tRNA from 1 species